rnacentral:rRNA from 1 species
CAGUCGAGCGAACAGAAAAGGAGCUUGCUCCUUUGACGUUAGCGGCGGACGGGUGAGUAACACGUGGGCAACCUACCCUAUAGUUUGGGAUAACUCCGGGAAACCGGGGCUAAUACCGAAUAAUCUCUUUUACUUCAUGGUGAAAGACUGAAAGACGGCAUCUCGCUGUCGCUAUAGGAUGGGCCCGCGGCGCAUUAGCUAGUUGGUGAGGUAACGGCUCACCAAGGCGACGAUGCGUAGCCGACCUGAGAGGGUGAUCGGCCACACUGGGACUGAGACACGGCCCAGACUCCUACGGGAGGCAGCAGUAGGGAAUCUUCCACAAUGGGCGAAAGCCUGAUGGAGCAACGCCGCGUGAGUGAAGAAGGUUUUCGGAUCGUAAAACUCUGUUGUAAGGGAAGAACAAGUACAGUAGUAACUGGCUGUACCUUGACGGUACCUUAUUAGAAAGCCACGGCUAACUACGUGCCAGCAGC